UUGGAGGGCAAGUCUGGUGCCUGCAGCCGCGGUAAUUCCAGCUCCAAUAGCGUAUAUUAAAGUUGUUGUGGUUAAAAAGCUCGUAGUAGAAGCUCGGGCUCCGGCCGACCGGUCCGCCUCACCGCGCGCACUGGUUCGGCCGGGCCUUCACCUUCUGCGGAACCGCAUCUCCUUCACUGGGGGUGUCGGGGAAACAGGACGUUUACUGUGAAAAAAUUAGAGUGCUCCAGGCAGGCCUAUGCUCGAAUAGAUUAGCAUGGAAUAAUGGAAUAGG
rnacentral:rRNA from 1 species